AAAAGCACGUGUAUUUUUUCAUCAGGCCAGUCAUGAAGAACACGUGAAAGGAUAUAAAGAUCUGCUUCUGGAAGAUUAUCCUUGAAGAAGUCACCUGUUGGAAAGCAGAGUUAGUACAUUCCUGCGGAAAUCACAGAGGACAUUCCUACAAAAUGAAAUGAAAAUAUUGCAGAGAAAUGAGGAGCUUCAGCAGAGGCUCGAUGGUUCUGCCUGCUCCCUUCUUUGACAGCAGACUCCAGGAAUGUGAAGAGAGGCCAAAGGUGGUCAUUAGAGUGGAUAAUGUAGCCAUGAAAGUCUGCCUCCACAAACAACAAAUACCUGGAGCGCACAACUGUCCAGCCACACACCUGACUGUUGGAAGGAACUACAGAG